CCUACGGGGGGCAGCAGUCGAGAAUCAUUCACAAUGGGGGAAACCCUGAUGGUGCGACGCCGCGUGGGGGAAUGAAGGUCUUCGGAUUGUAAACCCCUGUCAUGUGGGAGCAAAUUAAAAAGAUAGUACCACAAGAGGAAGAGACGGCUAACUCUGUGCCAGCAGCCGCGGUAAUACAGAGGUCUCAAGCGUUGUUCGGAAUCACUGGGCGUAAAGCGUGCGUAGGCUGUUUCGUAAGUCGUGUGUGAAAUGCGCGGGCUCAACCCGCGGACGGCACAUGAUACUGCGAGACUAGAGUAAGGGAGGGGGAACCGGAAUUCUCGGUGUAGGAGUGAAAUGCGUAGAUAUCGAGAGGAACACUCGUGGCGAAGGCGGGUGCCUGGACAUUAACUGACGCUGAGGAACGAAGGCCAGGGGAGCGAAAGGGAUUAGAUACCCGAGUAGUC
rnacentral:rRNA from 1 species